UGAACGCUGGCGGCAUGCCUUACACAUGCAAGUCGAACGGUAACGCGGGGCAACCUGGCGACGAGUGGCGAACGGGUGAGUAAUGCAUCGGAACGUGCCCAGCAGUGGGGGAUAGCCCGGCGAAAGCCGGAUUAAUACCGCAUACGACCUACGGGUGAAAGCGGGGGAUCGCAAGACCUCGCGCUAUUGGAGCGGCCGAUAUCAGAUUAGGUAGUUGGUGGGGUAAAGGCUCACCAAGCCAACGAUCUGUAGCUGGUCUGAGAGGACGACCAGCCACACUGGAACUGAGACACGGUCCAGACUCCUACGGGAGGCAGCAGUGGGGAAUUUUGGACAAUGGACGCAAGUCUGAUCCAGCCAUUCCGCGUGCAGGAUGAAGGCCCUCGGGUUGUAAACUGCUUUUGUACGGAACGAAAAGGUUUCUAUUAAUACUAGGAGCUCAUGACGGUACCGUAAGAAUAAGCACCGGCUAACUACGUGCCAGCAGCCGCG
rnacentral:rRNA from 1 species